UGCAGUCGUACGCUUCUUUUUCCACCGGAGCUUGCUCCACCGGAAAAAGAGGAGUGGCGAACGGGUGAGUAACACGUGGGUAACCUGCCCAUCAGAAGGGGAUAACACUUGGAAACAGGUGCUAAUACCGUAUAACAAUCGAAACCGCAUGGUUUUGAUUUGAAAGGCGCUUUCGGGUGUCGCUGAUGGAUGGACCCGCGGUGCAUUAGCUAGUUGGUGAGGUAACGGCUCACCAAGGCCACGAUGCAUAGCCGACCUGAGAGGGUGAUCGGCCACAUUGGGACUGAGACACGGCCCAAACUCCUACGGGAGGCAGCAGUAGGGAAUCUUCGGCAAUGGACGAAAGUCUGACCGAGCAACGCCGCGUGAGUGAAGAAGGUUUUCGGAUCGUAAAACUCUGUUGUUAGAGAAGAAUAAGGAUGAGAGUAACUGUUCAUCCCUUGACGGUAUCUAACCAGAAAGCCACGGCUAACUACGUGCCAGCAGCCGCGGUAAUACGUAGGUGGCAAGCGUUGUCCGGAUUUAUUGGGCGUAAAGCGAGCGCAGGCGGUUUCUUAAGUCUGAUGUGAAAGCCCCCGGCUCAACCGGGGAGGGUCAUUGGAAACUGGGAGACUUGAGUGCAGAAGAGGAGAGUGGAAUUCCAUGUGUAGCGGUGAAAUGCGUAGAUAUAUGGAGGAACACCAGUGGCGAAGGCGGCUCUCUGGUCUGUAACUGACGCUGAGGCUCGAAAGCGUGGGGAGCAAACAGGAUUAGAUACCCUGGUAGUCCACGCCGUAAACGAUGAGUGCUAAGUGUUGGAGGGUUUCCGCCCUUCAGUGCUGCAGCUAACGCAUUAAGCACUCCGCCUGGGGAGUACGACC
rnacentral:rRNA from 1 species